rnacentral:rRNA from 1 species
AGCAGCCGCGGUAAUUCCAGCUCCAAUAGCGUAUAUUAAAGUUGUUGCAGUUAAAAAGCUCGUAGUUGAAUUUCGGGGUUAGUAGGUUGGUCAUGCCUCUGGUAUGUACUGGUCUCACUGAUUCCUCCUUCCUGAUGAGCCGUAAUGCCAUUAAUUUGGUGUUGCGGGGAAUUUGGACUGUUACUUUGAAAAAAUUAGAGUGUUUAAGGCAAGCUAACGCUUGAAUACAUUAGCAUGGAAUAAUGAAAUAGGACGUUCGAUCCUAUUUUGUUGGUUUCUAGGAUUGACGUAAUGAUUAAUAGGGAUAGUUGGGGGCAUUAGUAUUCAAUUGUCAGAGGUGAAAUUCUUGGAUUUAUUGAAGACUAACUACUGCGAAAGCAUUUGCCAAGGAUGUUUUCAUUAAUCAAGAACGAAAGUUAGGGGAUCGAAGACGAUCAGAUACCGUCGUAGUCUUAACCAUAAACUAUGCCGACUAGGGAUCGGGAUGAUGUUAAUUUUUUAAUGACUCAUUCGGCGCCUU